rnacentral:rRNA from 1 species
GUCUACAGCCAUACCACCCUUAAUGUGCCCUAUAUUGUCUGAUCUUGGAAGCUAAAUGGGGUUGAGUCUAGUUAGUACUUUGAUGGGAAAAAGAAGAAAUUUAGCACAGAAA